GUACCGUGAGGGAAAGGUGAAAAGAACUUUGAAAAGAGAGUGAAAUAGCGCUUGAAACCUAGGAGGAAAGCGAAUGGAGUUGCUAUACGACCGAGAUAUCUCAAACUGGCACGUAAGUUGGUUUCAGUGUAGUGAUCUCGUGUCUUCGUUCGUAGAAGACUGUCUAUCCUGGCGCGUGCUUAAAUCUCGAUAUCUUAUAUAUGGAAAAUUUAAAGGCUGUCCAGACGAACGUAUAACGACGGCUUCUAAUUUCUAGAAGAAUACUAAUCAUAGAAGUAACGUGCUUGCACGUUUAUUCUAUAUACUGUUCUUAGGACGGACGGAAGGGCUUCAUU
rnacentral:rRNA from 1 species